rnacentral:lncRNA from 1 species
GUGACCGUGCCGAUCUAGGUCGUGUGACCCGUCUGGUGUAGUCCUGGAACAAGGGUUUUGCUGCGGAGGGAAACGGCCAGAGACCUCGAUCUAAGACCGGGGUUUGGAGACUGGCGGGCCUCGGAACAGCAGAGCUAGCGGACUUCCGGUCUGGCCCUCUGCUCACGGCCGAGGGCAAGGCGGGUUAGGUCACUUGCUGAGGAAAGAGCUCAAUAUGUCACGUGUUCCUCUCCCAAUGACGUGGACCUCAGUUCCCUCUCCAGUGAAGUGGGCACAGUGUUGCCCGAAAAAGGGUGCUCUGGGGCUUGCCUGAGACGGGACGCGUGGAAAUGCCCUGCCGAAUAUGAAUGGGGCGAUGGCCUCGCGGGACGGAGCAGCCCAGGAAAGCUGACCGUGGGCUGGGUUGUGGAGCGGAGCCCCAGGGCCUCGGCUGACUUAGCGGCCAGUCGUACAUAGUGGGUAUGCGGCGGGCCCGACGCCAGUCGUUGUGGACCACUGACUUGUAAUCUUUACGACCUCAGUGAGGGUCAGAAGUGUCCGCGAGCCCUGUAGGCGAGGAGAGGCCUGGCUGAGGGCGCACAGCCUGGAAGGGGAGAAACUAGAGCUGGACUCUGCUUGACCCACAGACCCUCCGCCAGGUUGCCUUUGCGAGGCAAGAAGCGAAGGUUGGCGAGCCAGCUGGGAGUACCCACCCCCUCCAUGCCUGGUGGAGUCACCCAAGCCCCAGCGACACCCCGGCCUGCCCAAGGUACUGGUGACCCUGGAGGCCGGGGCCCUGGCUUCUCAGUCAGGGUCUCCUCCCCAUGGCGGCAGAGCUGUCUGGCGUUUUGAGCCCUUUACACCAGGGGCAAGAGGGCUGCAGGCCAGAGCCAGCAAAAGAGAAGAAGCAGAGGGAAUGAGAAACCUAGAAGGUGGAACGGGAAGGAGGGAGUGAAAUGGGCAAAGGCCUCCAAAAAAAACAACUUCCGCCUCCUAAGUUUAGUGCAUUUAACUCUAUAAAUAUCUAUUGAACACCUACUGGAUGCCAGGCACUUUUCUAGGCACUGGGCAGCUAGCAUUAAACAGAAGGCAGAAACCCCUGCCUUCAACAAAAUCUAUGCUGUGUUGAAUAAGUGAUACAGGGAAAAGCUAAAGAUGGGGAGAGAGGUGGGAAGGGUAUAGAGGAUGGGAAGAAAUUUACAAAAGAGGCAGGGAGGGCUUUACUGAGAAGGUGACGAUGAAGGAAGUGAAGGAAGGGCAUUGCAGGCCAGGGGCUCAUCGUGUGCAAGGGCCCUGGGGUGGAAGGGAUCAUGCAGUGGCGUGAGUGUGGGUUUGAGCAGCAGGUGAUGGUCAGAGGUAAUACGUGGCCACCAAAAGGACUCUGGCGGCCGGGCGCAGUGGCUCACGCCUGUAAUCCCAGCACUUUGGGAGGCCGAGGCGGGCGGAUCACGAGGUCAGGAGAUCGAGACCAUCCUGGCUAACAUGGUGAAACCCCGCCUCUACUAAAAACACAAAAAAUUAGCCGGGCAUGGCGGGCGCCUGUGAUCCCAGCUACUCUGGAGGCUGAGGCAGGAGAAUGGCGUGAACCCGGGAGGCGGAGCUUGCAGUGAACCGACGUCGUGCCACUGCACUCCAGCCUGGGCGACAUAGACUCCAUCUCAAAAAAAAAAAAAAAUUAUCAGCGCAUGGUGGUACGCACCUGUAAUCCCAGCUACUCAGGAGGCUGAGGCAGGAGAAUCAUUUGAACCCAGGAGGCGGAGGUUACAGUGAGCCGAGAUCGUGCCAUUGCACUCCAGACUGGGGGACAAGAGCAAGACUUCGUCUCAAAAAAAAAAAAAAAAAAGGACUCAGUGGCAUAAAGCCAUGGCAGGAUUCUAAGGACUGACAUGGUCUCUGCAUUGUAGCGGGUGCACUCUGCUGGUCUGUUGAGAAUUAACUCUUUGAGACCAGAGUAGGGUCAGAGAGCCCUUGGAGGGUGGAGGGCUACAGAGAUAACCCAGAGAUGAGGGUGGCUUGGACCACAGUGGCAGCAGUGCAGAGAGGGAAAAGGAGUUUGGGUUUUGAAGGUAUUCCAAAGGUAGAAUUGGAUGGGUGCCAGUUCCAGAUCACCAUCCGUAGGCUCGCUGUCCUGGAAACCUUUCUUCCUCUUCAUGAAGGCACCUUCCCUUCACUUUUGCUUCAAGUUUCCAUUCCACAGAGGGACAGAAACUCAAUCUCAGUCCAUCCAGGAUCCCAUCCUUCAGUUCUGGGGGUUGUGGCAGCCAAGUCAUGGGUGGUGUGGGUGGGGAAUCUGGUCCCCUGUCACCUUGUCCAUCUCCACUGGCAUCUGCAGAGGCCAUCUCACUCCAGGAUGGUCCACAUGGGGCACAGCGUGUCCCACUCCACAUCUAGCUUCCCUUCAGCUGCCUCCACACCCUGCUGCCUUGUAACUGCCAGGUGGUCUCAGGCCUCCUUCCCAAGCAGCCCCCAGCAGCUUUCUUGCUGUUCUCACUGAGCUGGACACCUCUCAGGAGCAAGAAGGAGCUAUGCCCUUUGCUCCCAGAACCCCAAACCACCCUCAGUGUCUCUAUCAUCUUUGUCCAGUCCAGGGCAGCAGUCCCUGUUCAAGCACCUCACCUUCCUGCCUGUCCUCUGAUUUCUCCCAUCCCUGACCCCACCCUGGUCUGUGGAAUAUUCCCAGAGAAACUCUGGCUCUGAUGUGUGCACUUCCCUCCACACCAUCCCCGGCUCAGCUCUCAGCUCCGAGGCUGCCCCACAAGGUUAUGCAGGUGUUUAGUGAGCCAGUGGGGGUGAAAUUGGCACAUUGCUUGUCCAGGCUUGGGCCUGCAUACAAAGAGGUGGAGAGGCGCCUUUUCCUCAUUUCCACAAAGGCAUCUCUGAGCCACCAUGGGCCUUGUGUGCUCACAAGCCUCUGGAAGGUCAAAAGCAAGGAGUUGGCUCUUGCUCUUCUGUGUCCUGUUGUAAUAGUCCCCACUAAGAGCAAUGGCAAGCUCCGGCCUAGCUGCCUGAAUGAGGGGAGGUUUAGAGGGGAAAUUACACUGGUUCAUAAAGAAAAUAGUAACCCCUUGCUUUGCUGGGAAGUCCCUCUGAAAGGGAAGGAAUGAUGGACCUUACCCCAGCACCCAUGACCUGGGCCCCAAGAAGCUCACCAGUGACAAUUUUGACUUUCUUUGUUAAAUAGACAUUACUACAUAAUUUUUUUUUUUUUUUUUUUUUUUUUUUUUUUGAGACGGAGUCUCGCUCUGUCACCCAGGCUGGAGUGCAGUGGUGCGAUCUCGGCUCACUGCAAGCUCCGCCUCCCGGGUUCACGCCAUUCUCCUGCCUCAGCCUCCCGAGUAGCUGAGAUUACAGGUGCGUGCCACCACACCUGGCUAAUUUUUGUAUUUUUAUUAGAGACGGGGUUUUGCCGUGUUGGCCAGGCUGGUCUCGAACUCCUGACCUCAGGUGAUCCACCCGCCUCGGCCUUCCAAAGUGCUGGGAUUACAGGCGUGAGCCACCACGCCCGGCCUAUAGUCAUGAUUUUAUUUAUUUAUUUAUUUUGAGACACAGUCUCCCUCUGUUGCCCAGGCUGGAGUGCAGUGGUGUGACCUCAGCUCAUCGCAGUGCCCCCUGGGUUCAAGCGAUUCUUGUGCCUCAGCCUCCCAAGUAGCUGGGAUUACAGGCAUGCACCACCACACUCAGCUAAUUUUUGUGUUUUUAGUAGAGAUGGGGUUUCGCUAUGUUGGCUAGACUGGUCUUGAACUCCUGUCAUCAAGUGAUCCGCCUGCCUAUAAUUUUUUUUAAGUGAUGGGGUCCUGUUCUCUCACCCAGGCUUGAGUACAGUGGCAUGAAUAUGGCUCACUGCAUCCUUGACCUCCUGGGCUCAAGCGAUCCUCCUGCCUUGGCCCAGGAGUUGCUCGCAUGAGCCACCACGCCCAGUGUAUUCAGAUUUUCUUCGUGUUUCUUUUCUCUUCCGGGAUCCCAUGCAGGACACCACGUCGCAUUUAGUUGUCCACCACGGUUUUUUUGUUUGUUUGUUUUUUUCCGAGACGGAGUCUCGCUCUGUCACCCAGGCUGGAGUGCAGUGGUGUGAUCUCAGCUCACUGCAGCCUCCGCCUACCGGGUUCACGCCAUUCUCCUGCCUCAGCCUCCCGAGUAGCUGGGACUACAGGCGCCUGCCCCCACGCCCGGCUAAUUUUUUGUAUUUUUAGUAGAGACGGGGUUUCACCGCGUUAGCCAGGAUGGUCCCGAUCUCCUGACAUUGUGAUCCACCCGCCUCGGCCUCCCAAAGUGCUGGGAUUACGGGCAUGAGCCACCGCGCCUGGCCCACCACAGUUUUAAUUCUGAAGAUGCAGUAUUAAGAGAGGAGGCUAAAGAAGCACACACUUGCUUAAUUUUUCCUUCGUUAUAUGCUGGGGAUGGCAGCAGCAGCUUGUGGCUGAGUUUCGGUGUUCUGCCUGACGGGUGACAGCUGAGCAGGCACUAGGUCCUUGCAAAACGCAGGAUGCUGGGGAGGGUCUUCACCUUGCAUGGUGUCCUGUCCCACACUGCUCCUCAGGUUGGGAGUGGUGGGGAGUUACUGUUUAAUGUGUACAGAAUUUCUCUUUGGGAUGACAAAAAUGUCUGGAAAUGGAUGGUGGUGAUGGUCGUAGAGCUUUACAGAUUUACUUAAUGCCACUGAAUUAUACACUUCAAAUGAUUAAAAUGGUAAAUUUUAUUUAUCUUUUGCCACAAUUUUUUUUAAAACCUCAGUAAAUAAAAUGCAACUUAAGGCUUCUGCUUUUUGCUUUUCAGUAAAGGAAACUAUUUUUUUUUUUAAGUCUGUCCCUUUUAAGCCUUUUACAUUCCUCAAGUAAGGCUUACCCCCAGAAUGGGGGUCAGGGAUCGGUGCCGAUGGGGCUAGAGCACCACCAUCAUUGCUACUGCUAAUGACAAUGGUGAUAGCAACAACAGCCGUGAUUGACUGCUCACUGUGCUAGCAGCUGUACCACAUGGUCCCAUCUGUUCUUCACACAGCCCCAGGGGCAGGUACGCUCAUGGGAACAUAGCACAGGGUAGUUAACGGACUCAUCCAAGGUCAUGCAGCUGGGAGUGGCAGCACCAGGAUCCCUCCAGAACCAGAGCUCUUUCUCACCACCCACGUCAGUGCCAGCAAAGCCUCCCAAACUCCUCCAAAGCCACCUCGAUAACAGGAGAGAGGUGUCCUUCACCAAGCCCGAGAGGGAGACUGCCAGGUGCCUGUGGAAUAAGCCCUCUGGUCCAGAUGAGGACUAGCAAGAGGAAGGGCUGUUUGCCUUCUUUAAAAAGAUUACAAUAAUGACCGGUGUUUAUUAAACACAUACUAUGUUCUACAAUAGCGUUCUCCAGGCUGACGUCACCUAUAGAUCUCUAGCCCCACAGAUGCUCCACUGAAAAAUAGUUUCAUAGCUGGGCACAGUUGUGUGCACCUGCAGUCCCAGUUACUUGGGAGGCUGAGGUGGGAGGAUCACCUGAGCCUGAGAAGUCAAGGCUGCAGUGAGCUGUGAUCACAC